rnacentral:rRNA from 1 species
GUCUAUGGCCAUACCACCCUGAACGCACACGAUCUCGUCUGAUCUCAGAACCUGAGUCAGGCCUGGUUAGUACUUGGAUGGGAGUCCUAAACAUACUAUUACUGUAUUGGGCU